rnacentral:misc_RNA from 1 species
GCUAUGUUUCAUCUUUCUUCUCUUCACUUAUUUCUUUUUGGCCAUGCACAUACGCAUCAUGUUCUCAAAUAUUCAAAGAUACUGGUCACAGAAUGCGGUGAAUGUUGCACAGGGAGUGGCCCCAAAUAGCCAAUUGUAAUAGCCGGGGUUGCGGCUAACUGAUGCUUAAACAAGUGUAGCUUUCCUUUUACAAGCCUGAGUUGUUUUAUAUUAUUGCCCUUUAUAAAUUGACAACAAUUGCAACGUUAUGGGUUUUUAAUCUUGUAAUCUGCCACAGGUUUGGUUUUGUGGAUGUUUAAUCUUAUCAACCAUGUGCAAAUUUCUCAUUGAA